UGGGGGGCACGGCAGUGUUCAUCCCCUCCCCUGGCUGGGUGGUCUCCAGCCGCUCUCACAUGCGCCAGGGCUGUGCUCGUGGCCACCCAGGCAGCAGGACAGACCCCGCCGCCGCAGCGGCUGCGCGCUGCACCAGCCCUGCUCUGGGAAGGUGGCUGUGGGGGCCCAGCUAGAGGGAUGCUGGCGGCCUUGCUGGGGACCGCCCCUGUGCUGCAUGCUCGGCCCUGCGUGCCGGGGCCCAGGCGCAGAGCCGCACUGCGGGCUAGGCUGGACACGGCAGCAGUGAUGCUUCAGGUAAGGUGCAGCUCGGCUGCAUCCUCCAGCCCUGCCGCAUGCUGCCACGCCGGGGGCCCAACGCGGGGAUGGCCCCGUGUGCCUGCUCCACCUGCCUCUCUCCUAGCACUGAGCGCAGUCAGCGCACCAUGGGGCAUCCCAGGGGGUGGCCAGGGGCUGCCCUUGCCUGCCUGCUGCUGUUGCUCGGCCUCCCGGUGCUCUGCUCAGCAGGGCUGGGGGAGCUGGGCCCCACCAUCGACGGGCAGCCACUGGCAGUGUGCACGCUGCUGGAGGAGGAGAGCCAUGCCUUCACCUGCCGGGCCCCCCAGCCAGCCCCCGGCGCCACGCUGGCGUGGUACCUCGACGGCCGGAAGCAGGAGGCAAACUGCUCGGCCACGGGCACUGCCAGCACCCUCACCCUCACCGCCCGGCGCACCGACCGCGAGCUCAACUGCUCCCUGAUGGACCCGGCCUCCGGUGAGACCUACAACGCCUCCGUCCUCCUCGACGUGCAGUAUAAGCCGGAGAUCCUGCAGGCACAUGCCCACUACCAGGAGGUCGAGGGCACUGGGCUCCUUCUGGUACUCUUUGUGCUGGUGCAAGCUAACCCACCCGCCAGCAUUACCUGGAUUGACCAGGAUGGGCAGGUGAUGGCCAACGCCUCUGAGUUCCUCCUCUUGGGUGCCACGCGCUACCCAGGGCUGGCCAACCACUCGCUUCGCAUCCACCUCAGCCACGCGGCCAGCAACUUUUCCAUCAGCGCUGCCAACAGUGUCGGCAUCACCACCACCUCCCUCCUACCCCCAGCAGCUCCGAGCACCCGCAGCCCUGGGGCACGCACUUGCCCCGCCAGACCCGGUCCCUGCCGCCCGACCUGCGCCUUGGUGACCUCGCGCAGCAGGCCAGAGCUGCCCCUGCGGAUGUGGGAACCGGUGCCAGGGGAGAGGAGGGUGCGCUGCCGGGGCCAGAGAACUUCCUGGUCCUCAGCAAGCUCGGUUUUGUCCAGCUCCCGAUGUCCGGGCGCAUCUACAAAGUGCCCAGCAUGAGCAGCGACGAGAUCUGGCUGUGAGACGCAGCGUGGUGCCCGUGAGCCAGGGCUGCCCAGCCCCAGUUGCACUAUACCAACUGAUUUCUGCAGACAGAAGAGCAGCUCGUGAACAAAACACCAAGUAAACUCAGGUAUUGACAACCAAAAGGAGACAAAGCUUCACCUGAAGGAAAGGGAACCAAAGUCUGUACCAAGACUUGCCUGAAGCAAGGCUUAGAUCCAUUGCAGUUUAAAGCUAUGGGUUAAAGAAAAAGGUUAGGUUUUUCUGCUUUUAAAGCCAAGUUACCAGUUGUGCUGUAACGUUGUAGUCACAGAGGCAAAAGUAAAAUGCAAUGGUUUUGCUGCAGCCAGUGUGCAGCAAGUGCCCCCUCCCUCUCUGCGACUCACGGUGAUGUUGUGCUGCUUGGAGUUCUCCGUCAGCCAAAGGGAGAGCACGGUGGGAUCCGACUGCUUCGUCGAUGGCUCGUCCAGGACCAGCAGGCCAAGGUUAUCAGUCUUGCCAUCGGGACGAGGAACCUGCAGAUAAACAGAGACCCUGUCUUCUACAGGAGUCCAGAGCGGGGGAAGUUGGGGUAUUUUGUACGGAACCUCCCUGCCGUUGAAAAAUCAGACCCUAAAAGGAAGUGGUAGGCAUGCUCUCUUGAAUACGAGGUGUUAGUACAGUGCUACCCGAAAAGCACCAGGUGUUGGACAAGGGAGAAGGCAGGCCUCGCCCCAAAUGACAUAUGUGCUGUUUGAGAGAGUGACUGAACCACUGAGCAUAGUUUCCCAGGUCUCUAGAACAUUACCUCUGACACCGCAGGGCAAGGGUAUGCACCACUGCACGGGCAGACCGGCCACCUCUGGGCUGUACAGCCCAACUGCCCCUCUCACACCGAUGCCACAUUCUGUUUCGGCUCAUGUGGCAGGACGUAUAGAGGAACCUGAAGCGACUGUACCUUUAGGAACGCGUCAAUGUCUCCAACUGCGGGAAUAAAGUCUGGAAUAAAAGGCUGCAGUUUGUGCUCGA